GACAGAGGGGGCAAGCGUUGCUCGGAAUCACUGGGCGUAAAGGGCGCGUAGGCGGGAUGGCAAGUCGGUCGUGAAAUCCUUCGGCUCAACCGAAGAACGUCGGCCGAUACUGCCGUUCUUGAGGGAUGCAGAGGAGAUUGGAAUUCCUGGUGUAGCGGUGAAAUGCGCAGAUAUCAGGAGGAACACCGGUGGCGAAGGCGGAUCUCUGGGCCUUACCUGACGCUCAGGUGCGAAAGCUAGGGGAGCGAACAGG
rnacentral:rRNA from 1 species